rnacentral:lncRNA from 1 species
CUGGGGUGUGAGGAGACUGGAAGGCCGAAGAGCCAGAGGGACAGGAAAUGAAGGCAGGACCUCAUUGAAAGCAUUCGCUCCAAGGCAGCCAGAAGUGUGAAGAAAAUAAAGCAACUAGAGGUUUUUGCGAAGCUGAUGUGCUCAUUCCGCUUUUAGCCCACUGGUUUCAAAGGGAGGCGCACACGCACUCUUUCCACAUGAUCCAGUCAUGGAUUCAGACCGCAGGCCAAGGCCACAAGCAACAGUGCCCUGCUACAUCUGCCUCGGCCCCUGGCGGCUGCCUUCCAAGAAGUGCUGGAACAGCGGAAGCAGCUAGCAGCGCGGAUGACUCAACCAAGGCGGAUGAGUGGCAGAACGAGGAUUCAAGGCCAGGUCCGUCCCACUCCUGAGCUGAAGCUCUCAGCCAUCAUGUUAAAUUGAAUCUCAGUCCUCUGCUCCGUGUAUCCAUUUUUAAGUGCUGUGCGUGGUGUGUUCAGCAGAUGGAAACGGCACUGUCGCCCCGUGUAGACCGAAG